rnacentral:rRNA from 1 species
UCGGGAAUUUUGGACAAUGGGGGCAACCCUGAUCCAGCCAUGCCGCGUGAGUGAAGAAGGCCUUCGGGUUGUAAAGCUCUUUCGGACGGAACGAAAUGGUCAGGGUGAAUAUCCCUGACUGAUGACGGUACUGUAAGAAGAAGCACCGGCUAACUACGUGCCAGCAGCCGCGGUAAUACGUAGGGUGCAAGCGUUAAUCGGAAUUACUGGGCGUAAAGCGCGGGCAGGCGGUCUGUUAAGUCGUUUGUGAAAAUCCGGGGCUCAACCCCGGAAAUGCAUACGAUACUGGCAGGCUGGAGACUGGUAGAGGCUAGCGGAAUUCCUGGUGUAGCGGUGGAAUGCGUAGAUAUCAGGAAGAACACCUGUGGCGAAGGUGGCUAGCUGGGCCAGUUCUGACGCUCAUCCGCGAAAGCGUGGGGAGCAAACAGGAUUAGAUACCCCAGUAGUCCCUGAGCGGGCUGGCAAGGCGCAU